GGCGAUGCCUAAGGUAAGUGUCAGAGAGCAUUUGGUAGUGCCCACAAGAUAAGAGUGAGUAAGUAUUUGCUAAGGAAUUUGGAUUCAUGGAAUGGAAGAGUCGGUAAAGACUAGUGAUGUUAGAUGCAUCGUGGAUGUUGAUGUGGUAUGGUCACAAUCGGUGACAAUGAAGUAAAGGAUUUUAAAUUGUUUCAUCAUGGAUGAUGAAACGGUAGUGACUUGGUGCAUAACUUAAAAUGUAUUUGGACGAGAAUUUUGGAAAUU
rnacentral:lncRNA from 1 species